AUGCCCGUGGAACUCUCGUACAGUUCAAAACCAGCCUCUCAAGAACAGUUUGCGGCCUUCAGCCAGGAAACCCGGGAGGCCGGCGCUGCACUCUUCCUUUCCGAUCCGCCACCUGCGGUGGAACCGCCGCCAAAAUGCAGAUUUUCUAAAAAAACCCUUACUGGGAAGACCAUCACGCUCGAGGUUGAACUCUCGGAUACUAUAGAAAAUGUCAAGGCCAAGAUCCAGGAUAAGGAAGGAAUUCCUCCGGAUCAGCAAAGACUGAUCUUUGCUGGUAAGCAACUGGAAGAUGGACGUACUUUGUCAGACUACACCAUUCAAAAGGAGUCCACCCUUCAUCUUGUGUUGAGACUUCCUGGUGGUGCUAAGAAAAGGAAGAAGUCCUACACCGCUCCCAAGAAGAAUAAGCAUAAGAGAAAAAAGGUUAAGUUGGCCGUCCUGAAAUAUUAUAAGGUUGAUGAAAAUGGCAAAAUUAGUCGCCUUCGCCGUGAGUGUCCUUCAGAUGAAUGUGGUGCUGGAGUUUUUAUGGCUAGCCACUUCGACAGACACUACUGUGGCAAGUGUUGUCUGACUUACUGCUUCAAUAAACCAGAAGACAAGUAAUUGUGAAUGGAUUAAUAAAAGAUG